ACUCCUACGGGAGGCAGCAGUGGGGAAUUUUCCGCAAUGGGCGAAAGCCUGACGGAGCAACGCCGCGUGAGGGAGGAAGGUCUUUGGAUUGUAAACCUCUUUUCUCAAGGAAGAAGUUCUGACGGUACUUGAGGAAUCAGCCUCGGCUAACUCCGUGCCAGCAGCCGCGGUAAUAC
rnacentral:rRNA from 1 species